CAGAAGUGCUGAGGAUUCCAUGCUCCUGAGUGAGUGAAGUUUCUCUCUGUCUACCUUGUUUGCGGCAGCAAUGUCCUGACAGCACCUGGAUCAGCAGGGAAUCUUGGUUUUUCCUGUGGCAGAAGAUUUUAUACAGCAGAGAUGGUAAGUGGCCUCCAGUUCCUUCAUGAACAACAUCGUCCACCGGAAUGUUGAACUUUCCAUUUUCCAAAGGCACUGUCAAGCAAAUGGUUUACAAAGCCAAGACCAACAAAACGUCCAUAUUUUCAACUUUGCUCUGCAAAGAUCCUAAGAAGCAUUGGGGUGUGUGUGGUAACACCUGAGAGCAUCCACUCUACCACCAUCGACUGGCAGAAUCUGGAGGAGAGUACAUUCACCGGAUGGUUGAGAAGAUCUGGACGGAGAUGCAAUCCAUGACCACCUGAGGAGUGGCCACUAUCAUUAGAAAAAGGAGUUCCAAUAGAUAUAGAAGUUUUUAACACAUCUUAUCUUUUCUUAUGUCUUGCAGGAUUAGCCUGCACCUACUGGCCAGAACUUCUGGCCUCGUAAACCCAUACCUUAUGUGUCUACUGUUGUAUGUCACCUCACCUGCUCUAAACGUCAUCUCGCUCUCCUUACCAUCACUGCGCACAACUUUGCAAUCGUGUUAACGCUACAGGCCCUUGACUUGGCUUCUUACAAUCCUGGGCUAUAACAAAAAGCAGAGGCGCUCCAUGGUGCAGGUUUCCUAGAUAAUAUGGAAGGGGAGUCAGCGGCUUACCGAAGCAGGUUGUAUACCCGCAUACACAACAAUGGUGAGCGUAUAUCAGGGAAAUCCAGCCUGUCUGCAGCCUUCCUGAAUAAAUAGGAUGAACAACAAAGUGACUUCAGCAAAUA